UACGUAGGGUGCAAGCGUUAAUCGGAAUUACUGGGCGUAAAGCGUGCGCAGGCGGCUUUGCAAGACAGAUGUGAAAUCCCCGGGCUUAACCUGGGAACUGCCUUUGUGACUGCACGGCUAGAGUGUGUCAGAGGGGGGUAGAAUUCCACGUGUAGCAGUGAAAAUGCGUAGAUAUGUGGACGGGAAUACCGAUGGCGAAGGCAGCCCCCUGGGAUAACACUGACGCUCAUGCAACGAAAGCGUGGGGGAGCAAACAGGA
rnacentral:rRNA from 1 species